CUGACGAAGUGCCUCGAAGCGUUAUCCGGAAUUACUUAGGGCGUUGAAAGGUUGUGAUAGGUGGUUGUAUUAGUCUUCUGUUAAAUUCUUCGGACUUAACCGGGGGGCACUGGCAGGGGAAACGGUACGAACGUAGAGGAUGCGAGGGGUCUGUGGAACUGCAUAGUGGUAAGCGGUGAAAUGCGUUGAAUAUAUGGGGAACACAAAAGCGAAGGCAGGCAGACUGGAGCACUCCUGACACUGGAAACAAGAAAGCGUGGGUCGCGAA
rnacentral:rRNA from 1 species